rnacentral:rRNA from 1 species
UGGGGAACCUGCCCCAUAGUCUGGGAUACCACUUGGAAACAGGUGCUAAUACCGGAUAAGAAAGCAGAUCGCAUGAUCAGCUUUUAAAAGGCGGCGUAAGCUGUCGCUAUGGGAUGGCCCCGCGGUGCAUUAGCUAGUUGGUAAGGUAAAGGCUUACCAAGGCGAUGAUGCAUAGCCGAGUUGAGAGACUGAUCGGCCACAUUGGGACUGAGACACGGCCCAAACUCCUACGGGAGGCAGCAGCC